rnacentral:lncRNA from 1 species
UUAGUUAAUUCAUAUGUACAUCCCCAAUUUUAUUUGAAAUUAGAUAUAUUUGAAUCUACAUAUUUAUUUGUUUACAUAUUCAUUGACAUUUGACGAAAUAUGUAUGCUUACGAGGAAAUCACUCAUGUAACCAUUUCAAACGUCGACAUCAUCGCCGUCAAAGUCAUGAAACCGAGCACACAAACAUUAUCGGAUCAUUUGUUAAGCUUGAAUAACCAUAGUCCAGUACAAAGCACUAUGUUAAGGGUGGAGUGCCCCGUUACCAAUGAUCAUCUUGAGGUGGAUGCUGUUAAGAAGGAAAAAGCUGUCAACGAGCAACCGUAAGACAUUUCAAAUCAGAUCAAGACCGAUGCCUAAGGCGUGUCAUGCUGCUAAUCGAGUCAAGAAACAAGUUGGUCGACUUCUUCAUUGUUCCAUGGCGGAAUGGACAACUCAGGUCUCAGAGACUAUGCUUGGAAUCAGGUUAAACUUUCCACUUUUAUUUGGUCCACUUUUCUCGAUUAUGAGUAAACAUUAAUGAGAUUGUAACUAUUGG